GACGACCUCAAGGAUCAUCUUGCUGCUGUGCAAACAAUCCUAAAUGAUCUUAAGGAUGUGGGAGCAAGCAUAAAGGAUGGAGGAAGGGUGACGAGCACCAACUCUGCUUCUUCUUCAUCCUCUAUAUUUGCUUCCCCAUCCUUCAGAUCAUCUAGGAUUGUUUGCACAGUAGCAAGAUGAUCU
rnacentral:pre_miRNA from 1 species